UUUAAGUAAAAUAGCUCAGUGGUAGAGCAUUCACCUAGCAAGUAUGAAGUCCUAGGUUCGAUCCUCAGCACCACUUAAAA
rnacentral:tRNA from 1 species